CCUUACAAAAAAUCUAGUGAAAGUUUUAUUUUCUCCUGUCCUUGGCUCAGCUGGAUUCCUUUUGCACCUUCUCCUUAUUGAAAAUCCAGAAUGCUUUGUGGAAACGGAGAGAGAAAUGAAAGAAAAGAAGAACACCAAAAUUUGCAAACUGGAACAUUAUGAGCCCAAUACUCAGGCACAGAUGCCAGGGGCCCAAGACACCUGCAGAAGAUAUCUUUGCCCUAUUGAACAACUUAUGUUUCAAAGGCUUCCAUCUAGCUUCCAUCUAGAUUAUCACCACAAACAAGAAAGUUGGAGACAACCAGGCACAGCCUGAAGGUGGUAAUAAACACAUCACCAGUUUGGAGUCACUAUGCUCUCAAGAGAGACCCAAGUCAAGCCCCGUUGACUUCUAUCUAGCACAAUUUGCCUUGACUGCUAAAGGAUCAGAUUCUUGUGUAGCAUGUAAUAAACUUGAAGCGCUUUG